CCCCGCGUAGGACUCAAAUUUCCUGGCGGAGAUCAAGGCCCCGCCCCGCCCGGCCUAGGCCUGCGCCUUCCCGGCUCCGACGCGCGGACCUCGCCCCGAGUUCCUGGAACCGGGUAAACCGGUUCGGGUGCUGCUUCUGUGACCCAGCCCUUUCCCAGGGCGAUCCUCUCUGGCCUCAGUUUCCCGAUCCGUAAAACGUGGAGUUAAAAGGACCAGUCUCAAAGGAGAGUUGCAAACGAAUCAUUCAUUCACAAAAAACACUUGGUAAGCACUUGCUAGACUCUCAUGGAGGCCACAGGCCGGGAAGACGAUACAAAUCUAGAAACGAAGAUAAAAUUGCAAGUGUGAUGUUACAGGGUGAAAAAAAAAUUUCUUGAUCUGAGCGUCAGCAAACAAAGAUCUUGACCAAAAUGGGGGACGUUUGUAGCUUUGUCUCUCUUCCAGAAGCAGAAUUUCCUAACUCUGGAAAGGUGGCCAAAGUGAUUCGGUGAUAUUUACAGAUGAGAACAAUCCCUUAGUUUCUCUCUUUUCAGCUUUUAGUCUUCACCUAGUGUUCUGACUAAAGAUAGGCGUUUGUCUGUCUCCUGUGGCAAUAAUGUGUCUUUAUCUGUUGCUAAUCUCUGUCCGUAAUUAAGAAAGCUGUCUGGACUCUUA